GACGAACGCUGGCGGCGUGCUUAACACAUGCAAGUCGAACGCUGAAGCUUGGUGCUUGCACUGGGUGGAUGAGUGGCGAACGGGUGAGUAAUACGUGAGUAACCUGCCCUUGACUCUGGGAUAAGCCUGGGAAACUGGGUCUAAUACUGGAUACGACAUGUCACCGCAUGGUGGUGUGUGGAAAGGGUUUUACUGGUUUUGGAUGGGCUCACGGCCUAUCAGCUUGUUGGUGGGGUAAUGGCUCACCAAGGCGACGACGGGUAGCCGGCCUGAGAGGGUGACCGGCCACACUGGGACUGAGGAACGGCCCAGACUCCUACGGGAGGCAGCAGUGGGGAAUAUUGCACAAUGGGCGGAAGCCUGAUGCAGCGACGCCGCGUGAGGGAUGAAGGCCUUCGGGUUGUAAACCUCUUUCAGCAAGGAAGAAGCGAAAGUGACGGUACGUGCAGAAGAAGCGCCGGCUAACUACGUG
rnacentral:rRNA from 1 species